GGGGAUGAUUAAACCGGCGCACGGGUGAGUAACACGUGAGUGACCUGCCUUUUAGACUGGAACAACUUACCGAAAGGUGAGCUAAUGCCGGAUGAGUUAUAUAAGUGCAUGUUUAUAUAGGAAAAGUUGGGGAGACCUGACGCUGAAAGAUGGACUCGCGUCCCAUUAGCUAGUUGGUAGGGUAAUGGCCUACCAAGGCGACGAUGGGUAGCCGGCCUGAGAGGGUGGCCGGCCACACUGGGACUGAAACACGGCCCAGACUCCUACGGGAGGCAGCA
rnacentral:rRNA from 1 species